rnacentral:hammerhead_ribozyme from 1 species
AUCCGCCUGACGAGUCUCAGAUAGGACGAAACGUGUGUCCUGGAU